rnacentral:SRP_RNA from 1 species
GCUGGGUGUGGUGGCACAUGCCUGUAAUCCCAGUUACUCGGGAGGCUGAGGCAGGAGAAUCGCUUGAACCCAGGAGGCGGAGGUUGCAGUGAGCCAGGAUCAUGCCACUGCACUUCAGCCUGGGUGAUAGAGUGAGACUCUGUCUCCA